GCAUGUGAAAUUUGUUGACAGUAAGAGAAAUAUAGAAAAUCGCCAGCCAUAUCCUUUAACUCCCAUUGUGGCUGAUGACAUAAAAUGAGCUUGAGCCUGAAAUUGAACAUGUCACAUGAUUUUCAUUCAACAUUAAAUUCACAUUCUCUCUAACCUCUCCUCACACUCUCCUGAAGGGAAACGUAAAGAGGAAAGUCAGCAGCUUCCUCUCCGUACUCAUUUCCCUCGGAUAUAUCUGAGGGAUCAGAAGGUGCAGCAGAUUUAUGGCUCCCUAGACUUGCGGUGACCAAUCUGAUUCAGCAGAUAAUUGCUGAGUAUGAGCUGUUAUCAACUGGACAACCAAGGUGCCUUGAUUUAUUACCCAGAUUCUCAGGUUAACUUCAUCAGGCGAGCUGUCAGAGCGAGAGAGAACAAGAGGAAGAGAACAAAGCGGUGCAGUCCGGUUCUGCUGGAACAGUGUAGAAAUGCAGCUGCUGGCGUGAGAGGUUGUUCAGCUCUCAGCGGUUGUAAAUAAAAAGCAAUUAACUAUAUGGAUUCAUGCCAAAAUGCAUGAAAAAAAAGGUAAAAUUUCACUGUUACGGCAUAUCAACAACUGAAGUAAAGUCUAAAAGAUAUUCAGUAAGUAUAUAAAUAUGACAAUGUUUGGUCAACAACAAUUAACAGCAUAAUCAGUGAGUGUGUUGGGAAAUGUUUUUAUUAAAUUAUCUCUCAUGUUUUGGUUUGGAAGCAUAUUUUGUCAGCUUAUUAAAAAGGUAAAGUAUAUAUCUGGGAAUUACAUUUAAAGAAUAAUUCAAUAUCAGGUAAUUCAGCUGCAACAACACCAGCAUGGUAGCUACCAGCUUCUUGAAUAAAUACCUGUGGAUGCAGGUCCAGCAGGAUGAUAGUAAACUAGGGCUGUGCACUUUGACUCAUGCUUUUUAUAUUACCUGAAUAAUGUCCAUCAUUGUUUCACUCAUGCAAGAGUUCCUGCCAUCAUCAUUGUACAUCUAUACAUUAUAUAGCCAUUUGCACACAAACAUCUAAGCAUAUUUUUUUUGUUUUUAGCUGUUCUGUAUGCUACUGUCUCAUAUAUUUACAGUAUAUUAGAGCUUUACAAUGUCCAUAUUCACUUCCUGUUUUGCAUCCUUGUGUUCCACAUUUCAUAUCUCAUGUUCAUAUUUAUUCACAGCAUUGUACAUACAUUUUGAUCUUUUGCCUAAAUCUGCUAUUGUUAAAUGUUUGUGUACUUUUUUUCCUACUUCAUGUUACUUUCAUUAUACACAGUGCACGGAGAUGCCAGCUAAGACAUCAUCAUCAAAUUUAGCAAAAUCAUUAAAAGGUGACGUAUCAUAUUCUGAGAUCUCUACUGGAAUAUCUUUGCGUGAUUUACAGUUCAGAAAAACUCCUUUUAUGCAGCCCCUCAGUUCAGCCUCUGUCUGAAACAGGCUGUUUUAGUUCCUGUGUCUUUAAGGCCUGCCUCCCGAUGAGCACACUCUGUUCUGAUUGGUCAGCUUCAGGGAGGACGGCUGUUUACGAACAUCAUGACAGGAAGGAAGUAGAGAGAGAAGAACGGCUAAAGGGAACUGAUGUUGUGUGGGUGGAAAAUGACAUCAACAGCCUUUUCAAGGACAUCCCAAGGCUCUUUAAAAUGCCACCCACAAGGGCCAAAAGAUGAUUGCCGGAAUGCGAUUGGCUCUGCCGGGCAGGCUGGUUGCUAUGGAGUAGCUAGGUUUUCAAAAGGCUGAUUUUCAUACGUCUCGAGGAUGUAGUGACGCCUGUAUGGAAAGACUGUGAUCAGAUGGUAUCUGGCAACAGCUGGAGUACAUCGGAGAUAAAAAGCACUUGUCAUGAUUUUUUUUUUUCUGCUUUUCCAUCUGUUGAGCUCCAAAAUGUGAAUCCCAUUACUGGCAAACUUUCCAUCAUGUUUAUUAAAAUAUGCACUUGAAUUCUUUGUUGUUCAAAAACCAAAAACAUUUUUUAAAAAAGAGCAGUACCUGGUUUACAUGGAGCCUUUUUAUUCCACUAAUAAUAUGAGUAAGACCCCAGUCAGAGUAAAUAAAGUGUCAUUUUACACCUUAAUCAGAAACAAAUCAUAUUUUGUUGAAAAGUGGUGAUUUAAACCUUGUUAUAAUUAAAGAUUAAAGAAUUAUUCAUCUUUUCGUUCACUAUAUUUACACUCUGCACUCUACACUCUCUCACUGUCUGGUAUAUAUGUAAUCUAUAUCUCUCAUCAUCCUGUCUGGUGCUUCUUUCCUCAGGGGGGAAACAUCUUUGAAUGGGUGAAGUUCACUAGUUUUGAGAGAUAAAUACAAUACCUGCCUCCUGUUCAAUACCUCCAGCAGUUUAUUCCAAUAAAAAUAUUGUUUCAGUACAAAAUAAGAUCAGUAAACCAGUAACAGUGCCAAGUGCUUGAAGCAGGUAGAUCAUUUUUUAAUGCUUCUGUAAACACUUUCAUGGGAACUGCCAAUAGGAUUGAUUACAUCUUAUUUUAAUUCUUAAAAAAUCAGGUUGUGGGUUUCAGAGCCUCAGACUUGAUGUAUGAUGUCAGACUGAAGUUGUGAAAAAGAAAACUUUAGGCUGGACUCAUGGACUCGUCUGCUUUAAGACUCGACUGACUUGAGACUUAAGAGCAAAAAGUCGCAGAAGCUCACACUGAAACCACACACUUUAUGUACUUAAGUUCUAGUCCUAUUUAGACUUUUCAUAUUGUGCCAAUGAUUUAAGUAUCUGUCAUGGUUCUGUCACAGUCUGGCUCUCUGCCCCACCUCCAGUCCACCAGAGGCCCUUUGGACUUUUCUCCCUGUUUGUUUAGACUGGGCUGAAUGGGAGAAGGCUUAUUUGAGUUCUUAAUUUAGUUGCCUUUACUAGUUAGUCUCUCACUUUCCCUCCUUUGCCCGUCUACACACCUGCCCUGUAUCAGCCUCGUCAGCCUAUCAGCUCCCUGCCUGUUCUGAGUUUGGUCACCUGUUCCUCAUUCCCUCAUUAGUUCAGUUUGUAUUUUAGCCCUGGUUUUCAGUUCAGUCUACAUAAAGAUAAUUCUUCAGUUUCUGUGCCUGAUGUCUCUGCAUUUGGGUCCACCUGCUCUGCUCCACCUAACAACAACCAAACUUUCCCCCCCAUUACAUUCAUCAAGGGACUUCAUCCCAAUCUAUAUCUUAUCAAGUAUCUUGUCUGUCAUUGAGUCCCACUGUAAACACAUGAUGAAUUUGAUAUCUAGAAAUGAGUGUAUCUUGAAACAAGAAAGAAUACAUCAUGCAGCUGCACAAGAAGAAUAUUUUGAGAAGAGUUAAACUUGAUUGUUGAGAGUACUUGAAACAAGUUGACUUGGUGUGAAUUUUUUUCGUGUCUUAAGAAAAUAAAGCCUUAAAAACUUUACAACAAUUAGUCGUAAUAAAAAAGAUAAUUUUUUGCAGCGCUCAACAGCAGAAGAUCCAAACCAGCCCAUAAUCUCUAGUGAAACAAGGAAAACAACUUAAGUCAAAAAGGGAGAAAUCAAAGACAGAUCUCCCCUCCUCAGAUGACUGGAGGUGAAACAGAAGCUGUAGACAACAAUGAACAAUUCAGGGUAGAAGUUAUCUACGACUCCCGAGAUGCAUUUCUAUAUUGAUGUUGGUGUCUGGUGAUCGGGUGGUGAGACCAGGUAGGGGUGGGUUUUGGGGGGUUUUGGUAUCUUGGGCUGCUUGGAGGAUGUAAACAGAGGAUGAACCUGCAGGGCAACAACCAGCUCUGUAAGCUGAGCAUCCAGAGACCUGAGAGACUUACCUCUACUACUACAAGACUCAAAGACAUCUCCAAAAUGUUCAGUUUUACUGCAGAGUGUAGAAGUUACUCAGGCAUGUUAACACUGACCUCGGCCUUGUUGCCAACACUGUACGUACUGUAAUGAACUACUCUAUCAAAAGUAUCUUAAUAAUUUAGGAACUAAACUGCACUACACUCCUCCACGUUGUAAAAUCCAUUAUACUUGUUGAUUAUCUACUAAUUAGAGAGUAAAUGUUGCCUAAGACACCGAGGCGGUAAAUACGGACAGUGGUGCCAUGCAUGUGGAAUUGAUUUUCCUGCUCUCAAUCUCUAAAGGAUAACAGUGAAGAUGAAUUAUUCAGAAAGUCCACACCUCUCAAUGGAUGGCUGACCUUUAGCUGUGCUUGUUAGUACCUGACUGAUAAACUCUGAGCUUUCACAGGCCUCCAAAAAAAGAAAGAAAGAAAGAGAAAGAAAGAGUCACAGGGUGAAAUAUGAAAUGUGAAAUUAUAACUGAAGUGAGAUUGUCCGUUCUCGUCCGUGUACAUUCGUUUUGGCAGGUUGCGGAAAACUCAAUUUGCCAUGAAAAUCUGCAUCACAUUACAUCUGGCCGAUUGUAAACUCAUUACUCAGAUGCAAAUUGAGGCAAAUGAAAUUAAGAUCCAUACCGGCAGAAUAUUUCCCACAAAUGAAGCGGUGACAUCGUUUGCGUUUUUUUUUUAUGCCGUCGGACAUCGAUCCGGUCGGAGAAACGCGUCUACCUGGAGGUAAAUGUUCCUAUAAGCUAAAGACUCAUUUCAAACUCCAUUUGUGAAACAAAACGGAGCACUUAAAUUGGAGUCAUUUGUGUGUUUUUUACAUCGAAGAGGCUUGUUCUUUUAUCCCAUAAACUCCCCGGCCAUGUCGAUAUAGAUUUUAUUGUUCCUCUGUUACAGCUCUGUGCAGUGUGCAGUGUAGAAAAACGUUAGUGUGUCUCUCUAGAUAGCCUGAAUUGCAAUAUUCCCGCCAUCAAUCUGAAAGAGAAUAAAACAUUUGCCCACUACUCAUGGUUCCCUUUCCAAGUAUAAUUCCCAGACUGCUGUAUGUAUAAAUUUCAAUGGCACCAUCUUUCUUUCAUGCAUAUUUGAGAAGAGGAAAGGGAUCCAAAGGCCAGUGAUACUUUGAUCGUUCGGUGGUUUGUUUGUUUGUUUUUUUUUUGCUUUUCUGAAGCCUGAUUCUCUAUUUUUCCUCCUCUUUACUUUGAAUUGAUAAACCAUCUGCUCCCAUGACAGUUCAGAGCAGAGUGUCAUCAACCGCAGCGUGCAGAUCCUCGCAGAUGCUGCUGUCAGACUGCCAGCCGGAGAGCCAGAGACAUGUCCUACUGCAGACUGUGUGUGUGUGUGUGUGUGUGUGUUUACCAGAAAACACUUUCUGGCAUCUUGUGAGUGGGUGCACAACCUCAACAAACACAGACCUGUUCACCUCUUUAAGUAUCUUUUACCUUCUUUAAAGGUAUUUUAUAAGAAUAAUGUUUGCUGAUAAGAGAAUAUGGCUUGCAAUUUUCUAUAUUUUCUUUAUUGUCAAUAAAUCUCAUGUGCAGAG